UACGGAGGGUGCAAGCGUUAAUCGGAAUUACUGGGCGUAAAGCGCACGCAGGUGGCUGAGUCAGUCGAUUGUGAAAUCCCCGAGCUUAACUUGGGAAUUGCGCUCGAAACUACGUGGCUGGAGUGUGGCAGAGGAAGGUGGAAUUCCACGUGUAGCGGUGAAAUGCGUAGAUAUGUGGAGGAACACCGAUGGCGAAGGCAGCCUUCUGGGCCAACACUGACGCUCAUGCACGAAAGCGUGGGGAGCAAACGGG
rnacentral:rRNA from 1 species